UACGUAGGGCGCAAGCGUUGUCCGGAAUUACUGGGCGUAGAGAGCUCGUAGGUGGUUUGUCACGUCGUCUGUGAAAUUCCGGGGCUUAACCUCGGGCGUGCAGGCGAUACGGGCAAUACUUGAGUGCUGUAGGGGAGACUGGAAUUCCUGGUGUAGCGGUGAAAUGCGCAGAUAUCAGGAGGAACACCAAUGGCGAAGGCAGGUCUCUGGGCAGUUACUGACGCUGAGGAGCGAAAGCAUGGGUAGCGAACAGGAUUAGA
rnacentral:rRNA from 1 species